rnacentral:rRNA from 1 species
CAAGCGGUGGAGCAUGUGGUUUAAUUCGAUGCAACGCGAAGAACCUUACCUGGUCUUGACAUCCACAGAACUUUCCAGAGAUGGAUUGGUGCCUUCGGGAACUGUGAGACAGGUGCUGCAUGGCUGUCGUCAGCUCGUGUUGUGAAAUGUUGGGUUAAGUCCCGCAACGAGCGCAACCCUUAUCCUUUGUUGCCAGCGGUCCGGCCGGGAACUCAAAGGAGACUGCCAGUGAUAAACUGGAGGAAGGUGGGGAUGACGUCAAGUCAUCAUGGCCCUUACGACCAGGGCUACACACGUGCUACAAUGGCGCAUACAAAGAGAAGCGACCUCGCGAGAGCAAGCGGACCUCAUAAAGUGCGUCGUAGUCCGGAUUGGAGUCUGCAACUCGACUCCAUGAAGUCGGAAUCGCUAGUAAUCGUGGAUCAGAAUGCCACGGUGAAUACGUUCCCGGGCCUUGUACACACC